AUGACUUUAUGUUUGAAGACUUCAAUUUUUCAGGUCUUUGAGAUGAAGUCUUUAAAACUCCUGGAGGAUUCCCUACAAUUUUCUCUAAGGUCUAUGAUCAUUUCCAUUUUUUUUAUUACUUCUUACAUGCAAGUCACAAUUGGUGAUAUGCUACAAAUGGCUUAUUUUUAAGAUGCAUCUUUUCAUUGUUCUUUGGGUCACCUGCAGUUAGAUUAUGAUGUUCCAUUUUACAAUAAUUUCUGAGGUAAGUUUUUUGGCAGGGAGAUGAAGGCUAUUAUCAAAAGUGCUUCAAUCCAGAGCCACGUUCAUUUUCCAUUUGAAGUCCUUGUCCAAUCAAAUGUAUGUC
rnacentral:lncRNA from 1 species